AUUAACCACUACCUUACCAGGCCUGUUACAGAAGAAGAGAUCAAAAAGAUUGUGUUCUCCAUAAAUCAGGAGAAAGCCCCUAGUCCAGAUGGUCUAAAUGCCAGUUUCUUCAGAUAUCACUGGACAACUCUUAAGACAGAUACAUUUAUGGAGAAAAUGGGAUUCUGCGCUACAUGGAGGAGAUGGAUCAUGACCUGCGUGACAUCAGUUACCUAUUCUGUUCUCAUCAAUGGAUGUCCAACCAAGAAAAUUUAUCCUCAACGGGACAUCCGUCAAGGUGAUCCUAUAUCCCCAUCACUUUAUCUUAUUUGUACUGAAGGAUUAUCUCGUCUCUUACAAACAAUACACUGCAAAAGGAAAAAUUCAUGGUUUUAAGGCUUCCAGAAAUGGACCACAAAUUUCUCAUUUAUUGUUUGUCGAUGACUCAUUAUUAUUUUGCAAAGCAAGUGUGAAAGAGAGUCAAUCCCUACUAGAAGUACUUAAAACCUAUCAAUUAGCCUUGGGCCAGGAGAUUAAUUAUCUGAAGUCGGCCAUCACAAUUAAUAAAGAGAAUGCAACAUAAGGUGGGCAACUGGUAUACAAAGUUUUCAUCUCAGGCUGCAAAAGAGGUCUUAAUUAAAGUUAUAUUAAUAAGAGGAAGAUCCCUUGGGUAUCAUGGAACAAGAUUACAAAAGCCAAAGAUCAAGGAGGUUUAGGAAUCAGAGAUCUGAGAGAUUUCAAUAGAGCUUUACUUGCAAAGCAAGGGUGGCGACUUAUGAGAUUUCCAAAUUCCCUCUUUUCUAAGGAAGCAGAUGGAGAAUUGGAAAUGGAAAAUCUGUCAAAGUUUGGAAUGACAAUUGGCUGCCUACUAAUCCCUCAAGGCCAGCACAAGGGCCUGGAUCGCAAAUACAACCAAACCUGACAGUUUCAGAUUUGCUUAUUCCAGGAACGGGGGAAUGGAACCAGCUCUUACUCACGCAAUAUAUCAGGAACGAAGAUAUUCCCCUAAUACAACAACUUCAACCGAGUUCAACCAAUAUAAGUGAUCAUUUAGCCUGGGUAUUUACAAGUAAUGAUGAUUAUUCAGUCAAGUCGGGAUAUUAUGUGCAAACAAUUUAUCAGAAUCAACAAGACUUGCAAAAGAAAUAUGGGAAUUAGCUCCUCUUUAUGCUCCAUCUAGCUCAAUGCUUCAGGACCAGAAGUUGACUCAAAAUCUCCUUAUGUUGAUCAAUCUGUCCCAGUAAAUAAAGAUGCCUCAUGGAAAUCUUCGGACACUAGAGCUGGUAUAGGUUGGAGUCUAUAUAACCCGAGAGGACGUAAUAUUCUCAUGGCAAGCUCACUGUGGGAGGUGGAUCAACUCUUCAAUAGCUACUCAGGUUAAGGAUAUAAUUAAUCUUCUAAGGCAUUCAGGGCAGAUGUCAUUUAAACAUGUUAAAUGCUCUGUUGUAUCAGAAGUAGAUAGAGUAGCUAAAAUGACUCGGGAGAAAGGUUCUCGUUAUGUUGUUUCUUGGACUAUCUUGUAAUGUUUUCGAUUGUUCAUAAUAUAAGUUG